rnacentral:rRNA from 1 species
UCGCUACUACCGAUUGGACGAUUUAGUGAGGACUUUGGACUGAGACCGAAGCGAGUUAACGCUUGCUUUGGAUUUCGGAAAGAUGUCCAAACUUGAUCGUCUGGAGGAAGUAAAAGUCGUAACAAGGUUUUCGUAG